UCUUAUUAGAUCUAGAAAGAAUAUACAAAAUAGGUUUGUACAAGUUUCUCUCUCUAGUCUAACACUCUAAAUGGAUUCACUUACAUAAUGGGAGUCACUCACUUCCUAUUUAUAGGAAAGACUCAACCCAUUUACACAUACAAAGAGGAAAGCCUAAAACACUACAUCCAAGCAUGACUUUGCACCCUAACAGGGUUGGCGGGUUGACGGGUUGAACAACUCUACCCAAACCCAUUUAUUUCGUGUCGUGUCAUGGGUCAUGUCGCGGGUCGUGUCGAGAAUUGUCAGCCCUAGAGACGAUCACCAAUCGACCAGGAUCUUCCACCACCUCUCCCUCUGUCGCCUCAAGAAAAUAUCGCUCUUCUCAAUAUAGGGGACAACCGAACGACCGGUGACACAACGGAUGACCAUUGACCCCAACUGCCAUAAGGUGAUUUGAAUGAAACAUUAGUUUUUUUAAUAUCGGGUAUCACUUAAAUAUUUUGGGAGACAACAAAUCGAUACGUCGGCAUCCGUUCUUCAUUUUUUAUCGAACCCAAAAUCCUUCUUCCUCCAAGAAGUGAUGUUGUUAUUUCCAACAAGGCUCUCAUAAAACAAGAUGUAUCCAUGGUUAGUGUUGCUUGCAUACUCCUAAGCCGAACUAAAUGAAGUUUGAACUGCUGAAUCAUCAAUCAUCUCCACAUUCUCAUCAUCAAAGAAGUGCCGGUGGUUGUGGCUUUUCACCAGACUCGCAUAAUGCCCAUGGUUGGGCCCACUGCCAACAUGGACCAUCACCACGAAUAGAGAUUACUCACAGUCAGCAUCUUCCAUGGUGUUUGUUAGCUUCAGCUCAAGGGGAAACACAACACGGUAUGACAACUUCUUGUACCUUCCCAGCUGCUCCAUGUAUUGAAACGUUUCAAAUGUAUCACUAGAAUAUGCAGUUGUUUCUUGAUCUUCA